GAGCUCAGCAUGAUCAAGGAACAGCAAGCCCCGUGUGGCUGGAAUGGAGUGAGCAAAGGAAUGAGCAGUAGAAGGAUCCAUGUUCUCACAAGCUAUGAAGAAAUGGGUGCAAGGAAAUACUGAUGAGGCCCAGGAAGAGCUAGCUUGGAAGAUUGCUAAAAUGAUAGUCAGUGACAUUAUGCAGCAGGCUCAGUAUGAUCAACCGUUAGAGAAAUCUACAAAGUUAUGACUCAAAACUUGAGAUAAAGGAAAUCUGCUUGUGAAAAAUAAGAGAACUUUUUUCCCUUGGUUGGAUUCUUCAACACAGCCAAUGAAAACAGCACUAUAUUUCUGAUCUGUCACUGUUGUUUCCAGGAGAGAAUGGGAGACAAUCCUAGACUUCCACCAUAAUGCAGUUACCUGAUAGUAAGAGACUCACUCACUGCACUUCUGCUCAGUUGGCUUCUGCAUCGGGAUCACACAGCCAUCAGCAGGACUGCCCAGUUGGUGAGCACACUCCAUUGACCACGUGGCGCCAGCGCUUCCUCAAUGCACAUGAUUGAGAGGAAAGAAAGUUCUCUUAGAUGUUACUGCUUUUGCUCAGACUUUGC
rnacentral:lncRNA from 1 species